CCCAUAUAUCUCUUAUAAAUGCUCUCUAGAAUAUAUCUUUUUGGAACUUUUCUGUUUCUCCUUUUGUGUGAAUAUAGUCUUUAUCUUUAAUUUUUUUUGUCUAAACUUUAGGUUAUCUGCAACUCAUAUAUGAUAUGGAACCGUAUUUCAGAAAACAAUGAGAGACUGUGCACCUGGUGAAAACCUACUCGAGCCAGUUAAUGCUGCCGGAGAAGUUGGGGAUGUUGAUUCAACAAGUACGUGAUUCCUUAUGUCUUUCUAAUUAGGGGGUUUCAUCCUUUUUCUGGAUAAAUGUUAGAGGAUGAACUUUUGUUAUGGCUUAUAAAUGGUGAUAAUAGAACUUGCUACAUAACCUGUGAACAAUCUUUGUUUAGAUGCUCCACUUGAGCUGAGGAAAGGAGAUAUGUUAAUUUGUUAGGAAAAUGAAUUCACUUGGUCCACUCUUAACCAAGUUACAUCACACAAUCAAAAGGCCAGGAUGUUAUUGUAGUUCCUACGGCAGUCUGUUUUAAAACAGGAUGGAUAUUUAUUGGUUUGUUUUUCUCAAUGCCAGAUUCUUUGCUUGAAUUUUUAGUAUAUAUGUGUAGUUAAAUAUUAUUUGUCGAAAGGUUUAUCUCACAGCUUUAUUACUAGUUUGAGCACACUUAAUUUUGUUUUCUUUUCUAGUAAGGAGAAUUUCUUAUCUUUAUACUAAUUGUAAAAAAUGAUGCAUCUGAUAGGUGAUUCAAGCAACAAUUAUCUCAGAAGACUACCACAGAAACCACUACUUCCCUAUAUUACAAGUAUUUUGGCUCAAAUAACAGUGAAACUGUUAACUUGUAUUUAUGUAAUACUUGCGGCAUUGGGGAGAUUGUUUUCGGUUCACUCUGUAGACAACCAACCAAGAAACCAUGGGAGAACCCAAACAGCACAAUCCAAUUGCCAGGAACUUUUAAUUAGUCCGGCAAUGAAAGAGCCACUUUGGCAGAGGUUGCAGAAUUUAGAGGCGGUGGUUACUGAGAUGGCCAAUAAACCUAAAACAAUUCCUCCUGAAAAAGAGGAUAUUCUUCAAGAAUCAUUAAGUCGUAUAAAAUGUAUAGAAUAUGACUUGCAAAAAACAAAGAAGGUAGUGCCAGUCUCCUACCCAUUAUACCUAUCACAGAAAGUCAUUUUUCUGAGAAUUUACAUUUGUGUUGAUUGAGUUUGCUGCUUCAUGUCAGGCCCUGCUAGCAACUGCUUCAAAGCAAGUUGAACUUGCUGAAUCAUUGGAAAACUUAAAGGAGGGUAGAUUUGAUGUAAGUUGCUAUUGGCCCUCGCGUUCAAUUUGGUAAUUUAGCAUAGAAAUUUAAUGGACUGUCUUAUAAUGAUGCUUUGAUCUGAGUACAUACCUUUCAGCUCAUCUGAUGCAGAGUUUAAUUUGGAAGAUUUUCUCAUAUAUACAUUUCUAAUGAGUGAGUCAUAUAAACUAGUGUAAUCAAGGUUGUUCUUUAGAGUCGCACUCACGAUAACUCCCUUUAAUAUCCUAUCGUCCUUAUAGCAAUUACGUAAGUUGUUAAAUCAAAUAAUUGGGCCUUCAAAGUAUAUCGGACAAGUAAAAUGUUAUUUUAAUAGGAAACUAUUACCAGGUAAUUGCGACUGCACGUAUCCAAAAGUAAGGCUACAUUAUCCACCGCCAUUAUAUGCUCUGGAUUUUACUUUGAGCUGAGGUCCUUCCUCAAUUUGAGCUGUGCACACUCUGCGUUACAGUUCAAUAUAUUACUCAAUCGGAGUUGUUGUGUACAUCCUUUGUAUUGUUUUAAUGCAUUAUUCUCUAGAGAAAGUGUUGAUGGGUUUUGGUGAUAAUUUUUUUCCUGCUAUUACUUGAGUUUAAUGCUUGUAUACAGUAUAUAUACAUAUAACUUUUUCCUUAUUACAGGGGUCAAACUCAUGUUGGCCAAAAAAUAGAAGUUAUGGCCCAGGAAGAUGAGUAUCCCUUUUUCCAGCAUCUGUUUGCAGGGGUUGCUAGUCCAUUGUUUUUAUACUCUACAGCUGAAUUUCUACCAGAUCUACAUUUCCAUUGGCUUAUGUAAAACAACUGCUCUCAUUCUCAUAGGUGACUUUCCUUGUAUUUAUGUUAUAAACACAAUAUUAUAGUCUCAGUUUCCCUGACAGAAACAGUGGUAUCUUGUGAUAUUCAUUUCUUUUCAGGUUUGAGGAAUGGGCCAUGGGGAGAUAGCCCAAUGAUGUAUAGAAGGCAUGAAGAAAUUUUUAUGAGGAUUCUGGACUCGAAUUAUUCCUUUCUAAUGUAUAACUGAGUGUGUUGUUAACCACAUUUAUUUUCAUAUUGGCUUUUCUGUACAGAGGACAUAGAUACAAAAAUGUGCUAUUCAAUUUCGGAUGUAUUUUAGUACCAAUUGCAUAUAUACAGAAGAAACAUUUUCUGUAAUACGUUGUAACAAAUAGCAAGAGGCUUAACAGUAAAUUUUGGAUUUUUACUAGAGGCUGUGCUUUCCCCUGAUAUCCGUAGUUUUGGAUGAUUUUCAUUACUCUGGUUUUCGGAGAAUCUGGUAGAAUCAAUUGAAUAGUCAACAGUCGAGUGCUUUACUAUAUAUAUUAGAAAUAAAUAAAUGAAAAUCUGUAAAUCUUUUAAUGAUCAAACUACUGAAAUUGAUUCAAUAGAACAUUUGGAAAUGUACCAGGUUCUUAGUUUGGUUAUCCUUAGUGUGUUAGUUAUUUAAGAGCUCUUAAUUCGCCUAUGCCGGUCUUUAAUUACUUGAAAUAUUUAAUUAUUUGCGUUAAAUAAUGAAUAUUUAUGCAUUAAAUAGUCUUUAAUUGACAUUUAUAAUAGGGCAGGGAAGAAUUCCUCUAGGAAUAUGUACAACAAUUAAAUUUAAUAUAAUAGAUAUUAAUACAUCUUGUUUUCUCAAAUGACACUUACACAUACUAUAUUAUUUUUCAUCAUUACUAUAUUUCUUUUCAUCAAUACAGUAGUAACUUCUAUUUUUCUCCAUCAUUGCAAUAACUUUUGUUAAGGGAAUGCAUGUGUAAUGUAAAAAAAAUGUGUAUAUGUAAUGUUUUUAAAAACAAAUGGAUAGUUUGUGUAACAUUUAAAAAUUGGGAUGUGGGUGUUUUUUUCAAAAAGCCUGAAGAGAUGUUACUCUAAUUUACUGGAGUAAAUAACAAUGUGUGAUGUUAUAUUUCUUUGAAGGAGAUCUCUUUAUUUCCAAGAUAAUUCAUUUAGGUUAUCUUUUUCAUUUAUUUCCAAAAAAUAUGUUGAUGAAAAUAAAUAUUUUCUUAGUAGGUUAUUGAAAUAUAUUCUUGACUAUUUUUAUUCUUAGAAAAUUUCAUACACUUUUACUUUUAAGGACUGAAAAUUUCAUACACUUUUACUUUUAAGGACUUUUAUUUGUAUGAAAAGGAGUGAGUAUAUCAGAGUGAAGAUAUUUCAAAUACACAAGAAUAAAUAAUUGAAUUGUGUAUUUAUUUAUUUUUUAAAAUUUUGUCAUAAAGUUUAGUCUGAAAGAUGUUGAGACACAUUUUAAUGUUGGAUAGAUGCACUUUCAAGCAAGUUCGUCAAAUGCAAAACAAACACAUUGUCUAAAAUACUGUUCAACGUUUCGUUUUUGCAAAUCUCUUAGAUUAGUUGCAAAUUUAUAUCAUGCAAUGAAAAAGAAUAAUGGUUGAGAAAGAUCAACAAAAUGUAUUUUUAUACUAAUUUGUUUGAAAAUCUAGACUACAUUUCUUGAUCAACAUGGUCAAGGCUCCACUAAUAUAGACUAACGAUACAAAGUACAAGGUAAAUGCUAUUUACAUUCAACCACUUUUUGUCUAAAUUAUAACUGUACUUGCCUGGUUCGAGAUCGGGCACGACCGUUGGCUCAGGAUGAGUAUCCAAGUUCGUAACCAAUCCUUUAUUUGUUAUAAAGGGCAAUCAAGAAGAAAACAACCUAAUCAACAUGCCUUAAAGGAGGAAUGAUUAUUUAAAGAAUAAAUAGCAGCUACAUAACAUAUCCACAAAGGUCACCAUCUAAUCAACCUAUAAAUAUUCAGGAAGUACAGAUUCAUUCUAUCUCAUACUCUUAAACUCAUAUACUAAAAAACAUAUUAUCUUUGUCCUCCUACUGACUUAAGCAUCAUAGAUUUUUUUUAGGUGGACCUCCCCCUAUCAUCGGAGACCAAUUGAAGGCUCGUCCCCCGAGGAACAUGCGAUCCUCGCCAAGUUACACUCCCAAACAUUUGGUGCCCACUGUGGGCCCUUGGCAAAACCUCUCUUGGGACCACCAAAACAAUUGACACAUCCUACAGAAAUCCCUAACAGGACAACACAAAUCAAUAGCUGGAAUCCUUCCUUCGGAGAAACAAGGAGAACCUACAAAAAAUCAUGAGUGAUGCCCUAGGCCAGAUGUAGGAAAAAAUGGAGCAAGAUCUGGCAUCCCUAAAGGAGAAACACAAGUUGGAUCUGGAGCAACAAAGGUUGGAUUUGUUGGCAUCGCAUGAUCAUAUGGCUCGUAGAGAUGACAACCCUACUCAAGGAAACCCCUUGUCCUCAGACCGCACUGCGAAAUCCCGUAGAGCCCCCUUUAGGAAUUCCGCUCAGGGGAGAUGAACAACCCAGACUCCCACCGAACGAUCAUCAUGGAGGAAGACCCCGACAAUUACCACUCAAGACUCAUUAGGGCAGGGAAGUUGGGGGUAUGAACAUCAACCCUUUAAGGCACUCCCUAGCCCGUUGGUCAACCGAGCGAUGAAGGCGAACCUAAGAGGUUUCCAUCCCUUCACCAAGGAGGUGAUGAAGGCUCAACUACCCCAAAGAUGGAGUUGGCCCAACUUGGAGAAAUAUUCGGGAACAUCGCACCCUGAAGCUCAUGUCAAGACUUACAUGAUGCAGGCUCAGUUGUUCUCAUAAAACAUGGACGUUCAUUUUCGUUUGUUCCCCAUCACUCUGAUUGAGUGGCUUUGGAGUGGUAUUACUCUUUACCUCGGAACUCGGUGAAUUCCUUCGACACCUUUUGUGGAUGGUUCCUACCCCAGUUCACCUAUUGUAAACUCGUACCUACCACCUUGGCGUCCUUGCACAAUGUCGUGCAAGGAAAAGGUGAAGGACUGAGGUCAUUCAUGGCCCGCUUUGCCCGAGCCUCUUUAAACAUACCUAAUCUUCACUCUGCAGUGUUAAUGCACGCUCUAUUGGUAGGCUUACGCUCGAGUAAAGUCCUGGAAACCCUAUAAGUUGAACCUCUGAAAGACAUGGAUCAAUUAAGGGCCAGGGCGACAAGGUACACGAGCAUCGAAGAAAAUUUCGAUGCUCGGAGAAAGUUGGUGAAGGCACCAACCACGACGACCUUCGCAGGUCACAAAAGAAGGAGACCGGGAAAUUUAAAAACUGUAAAAAAUAGACACUCACUCACACUUAAAUUCUCUCUAAAAGAAACACUCUUCUUUGCAAUUCUCUCUAUUGUAUUUCUUUCUGUGGUGUAUCUUACAAUUGAGAGAGCAUCCUAUUUAUAGGCUUUAGGAAGCUCUUCUAGAAAAGUCUUCAUUAUGGCCUUAAAACCCCACUAACAACACAAUUAAAAUCCCACUCACAACUUUUGACCUUUUACAUAUCCAAACUCCCAUUCUACUCUUUUCUAGUAACUUCUAACUUUAAAACCCACAAAUUACAUUAAAGUUUAUUCAACAAAA
rnacentral:lncRNA from 1 species